rnacentral:rRNA from 1 species
GACGAACCGUGCGAACGUUAUUCGGAAUCACUGGGCUUAAAGCGCGUGUAGGCGGAUGGGUACGUCGGUCGCUGAAAGCCCCCGGCUCAACCGGGGAAGGGGUGCCGAAACGACCCGUCUGGAGGGACGUAGGGGGAUCUGGAACUUCCGGUGGAGCGGUGAAAUGCGUUGAGAUCGGAAGGAACGCCCGUGGCGAAAGCGAGAUCCUGGACGUCGACUGACGCUGAGACGCGAAAGCUAGGGUAGCGAAACGGG